CUCUCCUAUGGAGUUGAAGAUUCUGAUCCCUUUGGAAACCUUUGUGGCACACUUCGCAUAUGUAGCGGUUUGUCGCCAAGAGUGUAUGUGGCGAGAGAGCUAUUACUUCCGCAUCAGGGUCUACAUAUCGGAGGUGAUCUAUAAACAUGGCAUGGAUAAAGUGGACUGGUCAGAACAAGAAAAGGAAUAAUCAAGUGCUAAAUUUAUAAAGCUCAGCAAAACAUCAAUACUGCCAGAUGCUUCGCCUCUUCUUCGUUCCCGUUGGCGCGCUCUCACCUUUACUUGAAGAUGGCACAAUUGGUUUCUGCUGCAAAUUGUUGUGGGAUUCUUCCUCGGAGGAGUUGGACAUUCUUUCGGAACUCGAGUUUUCCUCAAGUUGGAAGAAGGGGAACUGAUGAUAUAUACAAGGCAAAGGAUCAAAAAGCGACAAGCAGAAAAAGGACCAUUGAACUGACCAAAUUGCCGUAGAGAGAUCUCCAACGUAAUCUUAUCUUAUGGUAAUCUACUUCUACUCCCCAAAAUCUUGAUUACACAAAUCCUCAAGUUAAUCUAAUCUAAUCCCAACUAUUGCAUAAUAUUCAGAUUCAGAUGGAUUUUUAAUUCCGUAUUUCAUGUUUUCUUUUUUCAAAAAAAAAAAACUUUAAUAUGUGAUAUUGAAUGCAUGGUCAAAUGGUUA